rnacentral:rRNA from 1 species
AGUGAACGCUGGCGGUAGGCCUAACACAUGCAAGUCGAACGGCAGCACAGUAAGAGCUUGCUCUUACGGGUGGCGAGUGGCGGACGGGUGAGGAAUACAUCGGAAUCUACUUUUUCGUGGGUGAUAACGUAGGGAAACUUACGCUAAUACCGCAUACGACCUACGGGUGAAAGCAGGGGAUCUUCGGACCUUGCGCGAUUGAAUGAGCCGAUGUCGGACUAGCUAGUUGGCGGGGUAAAGGCCCACCAAGGCGACGAUCCGUAGCUGGUCUGAGAGGAUGAUCAGCCACACUGGAACUGAGACACGGUCCAGACUCCUACGGGAGGCAGCAGUGGGGAAUAUUGGGCAAUGGGCGCAAGCCUGAUCCAGCCAUACCGCGUGGGUGAAGAAGGCCUUCGGGUUGUAAAGCCCUUUUGUUGGGAAAGAAAAGCAGCAGAUUAAUACCCCGCUGUUCUGACGGUACCCAAAGAAUAAGCACCGGCUAACUUCGUG